GUCGCCUGGGGCUUCGCGCCUGAGGCUCAGCGUGGGGUGCUGGUGGCAGUAGCAGGCAUCAGCCAGGCUGGCAUCACAGGGCUGGGAGGUGCAGAAAGCUAGUUGUACCCGCCCGGCACACGCAGCUGCCUGCCUUUUACCAGGCAGAGCACUGCUGGUUCAGGAAGGAGCCCCUCACUAUGACCACAGAAGUGGACUUCUGCCCUGCUUCUGCUGGUCUGGGCAAGCUUGGAGUGUCUCUGGACCCUGGUCUGCACAUAUCCCUGGAGGGCAGCAGCAAGAGGGGAUCUGUGUGCCCAGGGGAGCUCCUGGUUUGCGGGGCCCCUGCACAGGCUCUAGCUGUCACGUCCCAGGCCCUCCCCACCUGGGUUGCCUCUGUUCCGGGCACUGAUUAUGCUGCCACCAGCACACAGCCAGCUGUAGAUUGCAGUGGCCCCCGCUCCAAGCACAGGCCAUGGUGACUGGCCGACAGUGACCCUGCAUCUCCCCGCUCAGCACAUAGGUCCCAGCAUGCCUUGCGUGCAGGAGGCUGUGCACACAUGUGGCAUCCGGAUGCAGCCAGCAUCGCAGACCAGGUGCCAGCUCCCCAGGGUGGGUUGGGUAGCAGGCCCACCCUCAGCACCUCUAGCCGGGAGUCUGAGGGUCUUGGGGACCACCCACUGCCCCAGGAGAGGCUGACCUUCACAGCUGGAGGGAUCGGAGAGGCCAUGUGAUGAGCCUGGCAUCUCUGAGUACCCCCUCCACCUGGUGAACUGCCCCCUCUUGUCUGAUGCUCUGCUCUUGGAAUCAGGGUUCUGGCGAAUGCCUGUCCUCCUGGAUGUGGUUGUGUUUGCAAAGCCCCGUACUUAGGAAGAGAGAGCCAACUUCUUCGUUCUAAGCAGGCACAAUAUUUGGGCAUGCCCUGUCUCUUUUGUCUUAUUGCCCAGCCAGGCGCUGUAAUGAACACACUUGAAAGGGGUUGGAAGGGGUGCUGGACACCAGGGGCUCACCAAAAUCGCUAGUGCGGAGUCUGUCUAGGACCUCCUUGGACCAGCUGGUGUCCUGCAACCCGCAGUCCCUGCAGCCGGCACGUCAUACUGGGGGAGGGGUGGAGUGAGGCUCCCCUGGGCCCCAGGUGGAGGAGGGGAGCCCUCAGCAGAGGUUCCUCCCACUGUCCUCUCUUCCCACCAGAGGCCCAUUUACCUGAUCCCGGGAAGUUGUGAUUUGAAAGGAUGGAUUGCAGCCCCUGGGGCCGAGCAAGGGUUCCUGUGGGCAGAGUUUGCACACCUCCCUGGAGAGGGUGGUCAGCCCCGCAGCCUAAAGCAGCCUGCUCACUGGCCUGGCCUCAACAUUCAAGAGCCCUUGUUGAUUUGCAGGUCCAGACCAAGGGUGCUCACCAAGGAUAGUCCCCUGCCCGUGUCUCCUCUGCCCCUGGGCCUCUGCUCCUUCUCUGCUGGCAACACACUGACCAGAGUCCUUCCUGUCCCUGUCCACCCCCUGGCACUGGUAGGCACACGGCAGUGAGUAGUGAAGAGCUACCAAAGCUGGCCCCCGCGGGGGAGAUGCCCCCCACCCUUACCUGGAAGCUCCUGCCCCACCUGUCAAGGCAAAGCGGGGCAAAGAUGAGGCAGGAAGAGGCACGUGUCAGGGUGGCACCCCACCUGGCCAGCAGGGGCAACCAGCUGACUGACUGGUGGACAGCCUCGGCCACCGUGUCGUGGUCUAGCAAGCUGGGUACCCGCACCUCUGUGUAGCCAGUGCCCUGGCACAGCACCACGGCUUGAGGAGUGGGCAUGCGCUCUGCAGGGCUCCAGGGAGCCCCUGCCCCGCCAUCACCGCACCGGCAGCCGCAGCCCUCUCGCACAGUCACCCGCUUUCUCUGCCUUGGUCUCGGUGGACUGAGGUUGGGAACUUCAGAGUGCUAUACCCACCCCGCCGGAGCCAGUGUUUGCCCAGCUCCCAUGAGCUUAGACCCUCCUGGUUAGGUCGCGUGUGCUGGCCUGAACUGUUUGAUUUGAUUAGCACGUGGCAGGGGACUGUAGAGAGAGCGGCGUCUCCUUUGGGCCUGUGAAUUACUGGCAGCUAAUAAACUGAAGAAACCUGG